rnacentral:rRNA from 1 species
UACGUAGGGUGCAAGCGUUGUCCGGAAUUAUUGGGCGUAAAGAGCUCGUAGGCGGUCUGUCGCGUCGGCUGUGAAAUCCCGAGGCUCGACCUCGGGUCUGCAGUCGAUACGGGCAAACUAGAGUAUUGCAGGGGAGACUGGAAUUCCUGGUGUAGCGGUGAAAUGCGCAGAUAUCAGGAGGAACACCGGUGGCGAAGGCGGGUCUCUGGGCAAUAACUGACGCUGAGGAGCGAAAGCGUGGGGAGCGAACAGG